UUAAGUAAGAAAGAGCGUAUGGCGAAUGCCUAGGCACAAAGAGGCGAAGAAGGACGCAGCAAACAGCGAAAUGCGACGGUGAGCGGUAAGCACGUGAAGAGCCGUCGAUAUCCGAAUGGGGGAACCCACACGGAGUCAUAUCCGUGUAUCACAUGUCGAAUACAUAGACAUGAUGAGGCGAGACGCAGGGAACUGAAACAUCUAAGUACCUGCAGGAAGAGAAAAUAAGAAUGAUUUUCUGAGUAGCGGCGAGCGAAAGGGAAAGAGCCCAAACCGAUCUGAGGAUCGGGGUAGUAGGAUCAUCGAUAAAUCAAACAGAGGAUCAUAGAGGAAUCACAUGGGAAGGUGAGCGAGAGAGGGUGAGAGCCCCGUACUCGAAAUGAGAGACUGGAGAGAGAUGACACCUGAGUAGGGCGGGACACGAGAAAUCCUGUCUGAAUCAGCCGGGACCAUCCGGCAAGGCUAAAUACGAGAGAGUGACCGAUAGUGAACCAGUACCGUGAGGGAAAGGUGAAAAGAACCCCGGGAGGGGAGUGAAAGAGAACCUGAAACCAUAUGCCUACAAGAAGUCAGAGCCCGUUAAAGGGUGAUGGCGUGCCUUUUGUAGAAUGAACCGGCGAGUUACUGUAUGGAGCGAGGUUAAGCAGGAUAUGCGGAGCCGAAGCGAAAGCGAGUCUUAAGAGGGCGCGAGUUGCAUGCAGUAGACCCGAAACCGGGUGAUCUAGCCAUGACCAGGUUGAAGUUGGGGUAAAACCCGAUGGAGGACCGAACCGACCCCCGUUGAAACGUUGGCGGAUGAGUUGUGGCUAGGGGUGAAAUUCCAAUCGAACCCGGAGAUAGCUGGUUCUCCCCGAAAUAGCUUUAGGGCUAGCGUCGAGAGAAGAGUUGCGUGAAGGUAGAGCACUGAAUAUGUGAUGGCCCCAUCUCGGGGUACUGAGCAUAAUCAAACUGCGAAUGUCACGCCAACAUGCUCGGCAGUCAGACAGCGGGUGAUAAGGUCCGUUGUCAAGAGGGAAACAGCCCAGACCAUCAGCUAAGGUCCCAAAAUGUAUGCUAAGUGGAAAAGGAUGUGGAGAUGUACAGACAACUAGGAGGUUGGCUCAGAAGCAGCCAUCCUUUAAAGAGUGCGUAACAGCUCACUAGUCGAAUGACUCUGCGCCGAUAAUUUACCGGGGCUAAGCAUACUACCGAAGCUAUGGAUCCCAAGGGAUGGUAGGGGAGCGUUCCAUGAACGGAGAAGUACGACCGAAAGGACGUGUGGAGAUCAUGGAAGAGAGAAUGCCGGUGUGAGUAGCGGAACGUGGGUGAGAAUCCCACGCACCGAAAACCCAAGGUUUCCAGAGGAAGGUUCGUCCGCUCUGGGUAAGUCGGGACCUAAGGCGAGGCCGAAAGGCGUAGUCGAUGGACAACGGGUGGAGAUUCCCGUACCUGAUGAAGAGGCAAUGGAGUGACGGAGCAGGCUAGGCGAUCCAGCUGCUGGAAUAGCUGGUGCAAGCGAGGUAGGGGACAUCCAGGCAAAUCCGGAUGUUGAAACCCGAAGGCGUGACGCGUAUGGAACAUUACGAUAAGUACAGAAGUCGCCGAAGCAAGCUUCCAAGAAAAGCUUCUAGCAAUCAACUCUUUGUCAGCCCGUACCGAAAAUGGACACACAUGGGUGAGGAGAGAAUCCUAAGGUGAGCGAGAGAACUAUAGCUAAGGAACUCUGCAAAAUGACUCCGUAACUUAGGGAGAAGGAGUGCUCAUAGAGAUAUGAGCCGCAGUGAAACGGCCCAAGCGACUGUUUACCAAAAACACAGCUCUCUGCUAAGCCGCAAGGCGAAGUAUAGGGGGUGACGCCUGCCCGGUGCUGGAAGGUUAAGGGGAGGGGUUAACGCAAGUGAAGCCCUGAACUGAAGCCCCAGUAAACGGCGGCCGUAACUAUAACGGUCCUAAGGUAGCGAAAUUCCUUGUCAGGUAAGUUCUGACCCGCACGAAAGG
rnacentral:rRNA from 1 species